CACGGAAACUGUCCUUCCUCAACUCGUUUCCUGAUCUCAAAAAUUGCUUUCCAGCCUCUGGCUGGGGACAUCUCAUUCUCUCACUUCGGAAACCGGAGGAGCGGGAGACACUGAGGCCACCGGUCGUCUCACUGGGCACGUGUGAACAUCGACACCGGGCCAGACACCCGGGGAACUCGGAGAGCCCACUGCCCGACCCACCGCCCCUCCGCCUGCUCCUCGAAGCCUCAUCGCCGCCUGGCUCCAGAAGUGGCCCGCAGCCUCUCGGGCUGAAGUCAUCCACCUUCCCAUUCUUAACUCCGAUUUCCUCCGGGCGCUCCCAGGGAGUCCCCGCAAGACCAGGCGGACGCGCGUGAGCUGGACGCUACCCCCAAAGCCCCCAGCUCGCUGCAAGGGUAGACUCAACGGGGCCGGACGGGCGUGGCUCGCGAUGCACCGGGUGCCCCCGAGCGGGCCGGGCCCUGGUAGGCACUCCCUAAAUGGUUGGUGACGGAUCCAUUCCGCCGUGGGGGCCUAGGGGAGCCAAGAAUUGCAGUGUGGGCAUUUGAGUCCUACGAGGGUCUCGGUAGAGGGAAGACCGCAAAGGUUUCUCCGAAGCGGACGAGCUUUGGUUCCCAGAGCUGAUCGAGAAUGCGGCGAAAAUUCCGACUUUGGACUCGUGCGCCCUAGGGUGGACCUGAGUCCCCACCCUGAACCGCCACGCAGCAGCUUAGUAUGGCUUCGGCGGUCCGGGGCCGGGGUGUGGAGGGUUGAACCCAGGAAACUGGACAAAAGAAGCAGCGAGGAGGCGUGGGCAGCCUGGUGGGGGGUGGGGGAGAGGGCGCGAGCAUACAGCCUCUGAACAAAAGGCCGAUUUUCCUUAAUUUCGAUCAUCCGCCACUUGCCGUCUCUUGUGUGUUGGUGCUCUCAACUCUGAAAAACAGUUUUCCUCCUUUAAAUGCCUGGUUUACAGACGGCAGCGCCGUGAGAUGUCACCCUUUGGACCUGGCGACCUCCCAAACGCGGGCAUCGGAGCUGCUGGGGGGGCCACAGUCCCUGUUCAUGGCUGCAAACCGUACCCCUGGGGGGAAUUGGCCCGGCCCCAGCCCCUCGCCCCCCGCCCGAAACCGGCAGUGCGCUCCUCCGCGCCCCUGCGCCCUGCAGAGGAAUGUGGACAAUGGUUGAAGUCUGUACUUCCCGGAAGUGCACUCUCAAAGACAACCAGAGGAGAGGCUGGUGAAGAAUUCUAAAGAAAGGGGUGUCCGAGCGAACUUAUUAUUAUUACUGGAGUAAACCCCCCAAGAAGAGGCGGAGAACACGCGGGGCUUGGGUACAGAAAAAUGCACUUGGCGUCACGUCAACUUUCACCUGAGCCUAAAGAACUUGGAGAAAAGCGCCCCCUCGUGGACGGUUGGAAAAUUCCAGUAACAGGGCUAAGGAGGUGAGGAUCCGUGGUAAGCUUCGGUGGGACCCCUUGGGAUGGACUAAAAAUCCCUUUAUCCUGGAGGUCCUUUCCAUGGAAGUCUGGGGUUCAAUCUGGACGGAAACUAGCACCGAGAGAGGCCCUUCUAAAAGGCCCGGGGCGGGGGCUGGCAUUGCUCCCUCAGCCGAACCCCAUCUCCACGCAGCACUUUUCAUCCGGUACGCUGGCCCCUCCUUGAACUCAGAAGUUGGAAGAUCCUAGGCCUGGACUGUGAUUUAGUGCCCAUCAGCCGUGGGCCGGAGGAAAUCUAUUAAACUCUCUACAAACCUAUUUCCAGAUUAGCCACACGCCGAGGUCUUGGCUCAGGUAUCUUACAUUUGAGCAACGAUUCCAAGCUGCUAGGGGAAAAAAGAAGCGCACCUUCUCCCGUCUUGCUAGCUCAGUUCGUAGCGCUCACGACUUCUAAUUUUAGGGUCCUGAGCAUCGCCCAGCGUCCAGUGAAUUUUAUUUGUUUGUCUCCCGAUUGGGUACCCUCCGUGGCCAGGGCCGUGCGGAUCCCCGAGGUAGCCACGAGGGGGCGCGCCGUCCCUUCCCCUUGGAUCUCGGCUCCCAGAACCACUUCAUUCCCUCAUCCAACUCCCCCCCCCCGCCAGUUUGGAUGGUAAAUAAUAAAGAUGUCCAGUUUCACUUUCUCUGAGACUGGCACAAACCAAGAUUCUUAUUCUUUACCACCCCAACUGUAGGAUGGUCUUGAGUUGCGGCAUGGGAGGUUUGGUUGCAUAAGCUCAGCGGCCCCAGCUUGGAAGCUACCUCAUUCCCUCUGCGGCUACCAAACUAUAGGAAAAGGCUCAAAGACAACUGGUUUUGAAAGUAACUGAUAUCCUCUGUAAUUUUAAAUGUUCUGUUCUAUGCAUUAAGAAGUCUUAUUCCUGGGAUGCUUGGGUGGCUCAGUUAGUUAAGCCUGGGAGGGUGGUUGAGACUGAGCCCUGUAUGGGGCUCUGGGCUCGAGGGGAGUCUGCUUAACAUUUUCUCCCUCUACCCCACCCCCCAUAAAUAAAUCUUUAAAAGCUUUAUUCUAAGAAGCAUGUGCACCCUCUACGCCCCCCCGACCCAAAUAAGUAAAUCUUUAAAAGCCUUA